UACGUAGGGGGCAAGCGUUGUCCGGAAUCAUUGGGCGUAAAGCGCGUGUAGGCGGCCCGGUAAGUCCGCUGUGAAAGUCCAGGGCUCAACCCUGGGAUGCCGGUGGAUACUGUCGGGCUCGAGUCCGGAAGAGGCGAGUGGAAUUCCUGGUGUAGCGGUGAAAUGCGCAGAUAUCGGGAGGAACACCAAUGGCGAAGGCAGCUCGCUGGGACGGUACUGACGCUGAGACGCGAAAGCGUGGGGAGCAAACAGG
rnacentral:rRNA from 1 species